rnacentral:rRNA from 1 species
ACUCAAAUGAAUAGACGGGGGCUCACACAAGCGGUGGAGCAUGUGGCUUAAUUCGAAGCAACGCGAAGAACCUUAUCCUGGGCUUGACAUGGUCAAAGUAGAACUAUGAAAGUAGAACGACCGGUAUCCAAUCCGGAAUGAUCACAGGUGCUGCAUGGCUGUCGUCAGCUCGUGCUGUGAAGUGUCGGGUUAAGUCCCAUAACGAGCGAAACCCUUAUCGUUAGUUGCUAACAGGUCAAGCUGAGCACUCUAACGAGACUGCCGGUGUUAAACCGGAGGAAGGUGGGGAUGACGUCAAGUCCUCAUGGCCUUUAUGCCCAGGGCUGCACACGUGCUACAAUGCCGAUGACAAACCGAAGCAAGACCGUAAGGUGGAGCAAAUCGGAGAAAAAUCGGCCCAGUUCAGAUUGAGGGCUGCAACUCGCCCUCAUGAAGUUGGAAUCGCUAGUAAUCGUAGAUCAGCUAUGCUACGGUGAAUGUGUUCCUGAGCCUUGUACACACCGCCCGU